AGAGUUUGAUCAUGGCUCAGGAUGAACGCUAGCUACAGGCUUAACACAUGCAAGUCGAGGGGUAACACAAGGUAGCAAUACUGAGGUGACGACCGGCGCACGGGUGAGUAACACGUAUCCAACCUACCAUUUACUCUUGGAUAGCCUUCUGAAAAGGAGAUUAAUACAAGAUAGUAUCAUGAGUUCACAUGUUCACAUGAUUAAAGAAUUUCGGUAAUUGAUGGGGAUGCGUUCCAUUAGAUAGUAGGCGGGGUAACGGCCCACCUAGUCUACGAUGGAUAGGGGUUCUGAGAGGAAGGUCCCCCACACUGGUACUGAGACACGGACCAGACUCCUACGGGAGGCAGCAGUGAGGAAUAUUGGUCAAUGGGCGCAAGCCUGAACCAGCCAAGUAGCGUGAAGGAUGAAGGUUCUAUGGAUUGUAAACUUCUUUUAUAAGGGAAUAAACCCACCUACGUGUAGGUGUCUGUAUGUACCUUAUGAAUAAGGACCGGCUAACUCCGUGCCAGCAGCCGCGGUAAUACGGAGGGUCCGAGCGUUAUCCGGAUUUAUUGGGUUUAAAGGGAGCGUAGAUGGGUUUUUAAGUCAGUUGUGAAAGUUUGCGGCUCAACCGUAAAAUUGCAAUUGAAACUGGAGACCUUGAGUAUAGUUGAGGUGGGCGGAAUUCGUGGUGUAGCGGUGAAAUGCUUAGAUAUCACGAAGAACUCCGAUUGCGAAGGCAGCUCACUAAGCUAUAACUGACAUUGAGGCUCGAAAGUGUGGGUAUCAAACAGGAUUAGAUACCCUGGUAGUCCACACGGUAAACGAUGAAUACUCGCUGUAGGCGAUACACAGUCUGCGGCCAAGCGAAAGCAUUAAGUAUUCCACCUGGGGAGUACGCCGGCAACGGUGAAACUCAAAGGAAUUGACGGGGGCCCGCACAAGCGGAGGAACAUGUGGUUUAAUUCGAUGAUACGCGAGGAACCUUACCCGGGCUUAAAUUAUGCAUGAAUAACUAAGAGAUUAGUUAGCCAGCAAUGGCAUGUAUGAAGGUGCUGCAUGGUUGUCGUCAGCUCGUGCCGUGAGGUGUCGGCUUAAGUGCCAUAACGAGCGCAACCCUUGUCGAUAGUUACUAACAGGUUAUGCUGAGGACUCUAUUGAGACUGCCAUCGUAAGAUGUGAGGAAGGUGGGGAUGACGUCAAAUCAGCACGGCCCUUACGUCCGGGGCUACACACGUGUUACAAUGGGGGGUACAGAAGGCUGCUACACGGCGACGUGAUGCUAAUCUCCAAAACCUCUCUCAGUUCGGAUCGAAGUCUGCAACCCGACUUCGUGAAGCUGGAUUCGCUAGUAAUCGCGCAUCAGCCACGGCGCGGUGAAUACGUUCCCGGGCCUUGUACACACCGCCCGUCAAGCCAUGGAAGCUGGGGGUACCUGAAGUGCGUAACCGCAAGGAGCGCCCUAGGGUAAAACUAGUAACUGGGGCUAAGUCGUAACAAGGUAGCCGUA
rnacentral:rRNA from 2 species